AGAGUUUGAUCCUGGCUCAGGAUGAACGCUAGCGGAGGCCUAACACACGCAAGCCGAGCGGUAGAGAUUCUUCGGAAUCUUGAGAGCGGCGUACGGGUGCGGAACACGUGUGCAACCUACCUUUAUCUGGAGGAUAGCCUUUCGAAAGGAAGAUUAAUACUCCAUAAUAUAUUGAUUGGCAUCAAUUGAUAUUGAAAGCUCCGGCGGAUAGAGAUGGGCACGCGCAAGAUUAGUUAGUUGGUGAGGUAACGGCUCACCAAGACGAUGAUCUUUAGGGGCCUGAGAGGGUGAUCCCCCACACUGGUACUGAGACACGGACCAGACUCCUACGGGAGGCAGCAGUGAGGAAUAUUGGUCAAUGGGUGCAAGCCUGAACCAGCCAUCCCGCGUGAAGGACGACUGCCCUAUGGGUUGUAAACUUCUUUUGUAUAGGGAUAAACCUACCCUCGUGAGGGUAGCUGAAGGUACUAUACGAAUAAGCACCGGCUAACUCCGUG
rnacentral:rRNA from 1 species